rnacentral:lncRNA from 1 species
UCAAACUUAAUUAUUUUGAGGGAUGACACCUUUUUUAAAUAUUUUUUAUUCAGAAUGAUUACAAUAUUUUCUAUAUAAAUUAAUCAGUUACUAUUUAUUAAUUGGUUAUUCUCUUAAAUAAUUUUUUCUUGUAAUAUUUCUUUUAGUGAAUUGUAAUGAAAUCAUUCAUAUUUAUUUUCUUAUAAUACUAUUAUUAAAAACAUAUGAAAUGUAAUUUAUUAAAUAUUAAAUAUGAAAUAAUAUUAAAUAGUUAAAUAAUCAACAAAAUAGCUUUUUGUUAUGAAAUGAUGUUUUUUUGUUGCAAAAAUUCAAAUAGGUAGUUCUCAAUAUGACACUUGUCUUAGUUUUAGGCUAGACUAUCCUCCUUUAUUAUAUAGAUAGAUAAUUUCAACAAAAUUAAUUUGAGUAUUUUAUUAUAAAAAUAAUAUAAAAUAUUAUUUUAUAAAAAUAAUAUAAAAUAUGGUAUAUUGAUAAUAUUUGCAUUAAUUAUGCUUCUAUUUUCUAAGUAUUAAAAAUAACAUUGAAUCAAUGGUGAAAGUGGAGGGACUUCUUUCUUUAUUGGGGUUUUUCUUUUCGGGAAAGCUGACACUUUCUUGACUACCAACCACCCAACACAACGCUGACACUUCUUGGUAGAUUGAAUAUUUUUUCAUACGGUACUAAUUUAUAUACAUUUUCUUUGAUAUUUGUUAUAUUGUUAGUUUUAUUAUGCGUAUCGUAUUAGUUUAUAUGCAUUUAUCUUUUAUGUUUGGUAUAUUAUUAUGAUCCUAAGCUGGGAGUCUAUCAGAAACAUCCUCUCUACUUCACCUGAGUAGUGAUAUGAUCUGCAUACACUAACCUCCCCAGACCCCACUAUGUGGGAAUACACUGGGUGUUGUUGUUGUUGUUGUUUCUUAUACAGGAUUUGAUUCAAUGUAUUAAAAAUAACACGAAUUACAAAUUCUUUUUAUUUUUUUUUACAUAAUACCCCCACUUUAAGCAUGUUAAUGCAUGCAUUAGAUCCAUUGCAUUACUAAUGUCAUAAAUUUUGAGAUAUUAGAAAUACACACCUCAAUACACAAUAGAGUAUAUAACUAAUUUUUGCAUUAGUUAUACAUAAGAUAAAAAGAUAUAUAUCAAACAAGGGACUACUAAUACACAUUAAAUUAAUGGAUGCAUUAAUUUUUACGUAAUACAUUCUAUGCUUUAUCACAGAUUUGAUUAUUAUUCCUUGUCUUGAGCCGGGAGUCUAUCAGAAACAACCUUUCUACUUCUCCGGAGGUAGUGAUUUGGACUACGUACAUCUUACCUUCUCCAGACCCCACUAUGUGGAAAUACACUGAAUUUAUUGUUGUUGUUGUUAUUACUUUUUUUAUACACUCUAUCAAAUGACCCCAUGCUUCUUAUUUAAUAAUACCUUUAGCUCCUCUUUAAUUAUGAUAAUUGCUCUCUGACUCCACCUUGCUUUUUUAAAAUAUAAAUAAAUAGCAAUGAAUUUAAUUUU